AGCGAACGCUGGCGGCAGGCUUAACACAUGCAAGUCGAGCGGGCAUCUUCGGAUGUCAGCGGCAGACGGGUGAGUAACACGUGGGGACGUACCCUUCGGUUCGGAACAACUCUGGGAAACUGGAGCUAAUACCGGAUACGCCCUUAUGGGGAAAGGUUUACUGCCGAAGGAUCGGCCCGCGUCUGAUUAGCUAGUUGGUGGGGUAACGGCCUACCAAGGCGACGAUCAGUAGCUGGUCUGAGAGGAUGAUCAGCCACACUGGGACUGAGACACGGCCCAGACUCCUACGGGAGGCAGCAGUGGGGAAUAUUGGACAAUGGGCGCAAGCCUGAUCCAGCCAUGCCGCGUGAGUGAUGAAGGCCUUAGGGUUGUAAAGCUCUUUUGUCCGGGACGAUAAUGACGGUACCGGAAGAAUAAGCCCCGGCUAACUUCGUG
rnacentral:rRNA from 1 species